GAUGAACGCUGGCGGCGUGCCUAAUACAUGCAAGUCGAGCGAACGGACGAGAAGCUUGCUUCUCUGAUGUUAGCGGCGGACGGGUGAGUAACACGUGGAUAACCUACCUAUAAGACUGGGAUAACUUCGGGAAACCGGAGCUAAUACCGGAUAAUAUUUUGAACCGCAUGGUUCAAAAGUGAAAGACGGUCUUGCUGUCACUUAUAGAUGGAUCCGCGCUGCAUUAGCUAGUUGGUAAGGUAACGGCUUACCAAGGCAACGAUGCAUAGCCGACCUGAGAGGGUGAUCGGCCACACUGGAACUGAGACACGGUCCAGACUCCUACGGGAGGCAGCAGUAGGGAAUCUUCCGCAAUGGGCGAAAGCCUGGCGGAGCAAAGCCGCGUGAGUGAUGAAGGUCUUCGGAUCGUAAAACUCUGUUAUUAGGGAAGAACAUAUGUGUAAGUAACUGUGCACAUCUUGACGGUACCUAAUCAGAAAGCCACGGCUAACUACGUG
rnacentral:rRNA from 1 species